UCGCCGCGUGAGCCGCCCGCCGCGGGUCGCCACCCGUCGCGCGCCGCGGGAGCCGCCCGCCGCAGGUCGCCGCCCCGCCGGCGCGCCAUUCACCGCCCGUCGCGCCCCGCGGGAGCCGCCACAGGUCGUCGUCGCGCUGUUCGCCGCCCGCCGCCCAUACAAGAUCCAGGCAUCCAACCCUUUCUCCACGAACCCACUCCAGAUUGCUCCAUUCAUUCCGUCAGAUUGCUCCACUGAUUGUGCCUUCCUUCUGCUUCAGCCGUCACCAGGUGUGUGUUAAGGGAGGACCGGACACGCGUGUGCCAGGGAGGAGGAUACCACCACGCUCUUCGAAGAUGUGCGGAGUUGUCGUGCCUCAACGGUCACCGUAGCUGCCUUCGAGGAGGAUUUGUGCCUGCAUCUUAAUGUUCGCCAAGCCCAUUACAUCGCUGGUGCGGGACACACAACAAAACAAAUCUGAACCUCAGCGACAUAUUUGCUGGGAGAGAAGGAGGAUAAAAAGUGCAGGUCCUCUUCACAGGAUAGACCUUUUAUGUGUCAUGUCGACAAGGGUGUCUUUGAUAAGAUAUCCAAGCAGGCUGCAUGUGAGGUGAAUCAAGGAUCCCAGUCUGGAAAACUAGAUGGUGUACGGAUUCAGAGAUGAACAUGACGAACGAUAGAAGGUCGAUUUGGAUUAUUCUUGGUCCAUAACUAUCAAUUAUUCCACUGCCACACAACUGUGUUUGUGCUGGCAGGGAGAGAAGGAGAAGUAAGGUGUUGUGGGCAGGGACUGGCUGUGGGUACAAGUAAGAAGGCCAGAUAUGAGAUGGGGGAAAGGAUGCAUGCAGGAGAAGAGAACAGACUGCAA